rnacentral:sRNA from 1 species
AUAUGAACAACGCAAAAACCAACGUUCCUGCAAAAGCGUUCCUACGAGGUUAAUCCCAUGAUGUAUGGAAAUCGUCUAUUGGAAUGGAGAUCAAUGAUUGAUAGAUCCUUCAUCGUCGGCCGAUCUUGGGUGCAGUGUCAGUCUUUCCGCAAGGGACAUGACUGAGAGUGCAAUGAUUAGCCAUACAU